rnacentral:rRNA from 1 species
GACGAACGCUGGCGGCGUGCUUAACACAUGCAAGUCGAACGGUGAAGCGCCUUCCUUUUUGGUGGGUGUGGAUGAGUGGCGAACGGGUGAGUAACACGUGAGUAACCUGCCCCCUUCUUCUGGAUAACCGCAUGAAAGAGUGGCUAAUACGGGAUAUUCUGGGUCUGUCGCAUGAUGGGUCUGGGAAAGAUAUUGUUUCGGUGGGGGAUGGGCCCGCGGCUUAUCAGCUUGUUGGUGGGGUGAUGGCCUACCAAGGCGGUGACGGGUAGCCGGCCUGAGAGGGUCGACGGUCACACUAGUGCUGAGACGCGGCCACGCCUCCUACGGGAGGCAGCAGUGGAGAUUAUUGCACAAUGGGCGCAAGCAUGGUGCAACGACGCCUCAUGAGGGAUGGUGGCCUGCGGGUUGUGAACCUCUUUCGCCAGUGAAGCAGGCCUGCCUCGUUUGUGGGUGGGUUGACGGUAGCUGGAUAAGAAGCGCCGGCUAACUACGUG